GUAUAAUUAUCUGGCUCAGAUGAACGCUGGCGGCAGGCCUAACACAUGCAAGUCGAACGGUAACAGGAAGCAGCUUGCUGCUUCGCUGACGAGUGGCGGACGGGUGAGUAAUGUCUGGGAAACUGCCUGAUGGAGGGGGAUAACUACUGGAAACGGUAGCUAAUACCGCAUAACGUCGCAAGACCAAAGAGGGGGACCUUCGGGCCUCUUGCCAUCGGAUGUGCCCAGAUGGGAUUAGCUAGUAGGUGGGGUAACGGCUCACCUAGGCGACGAUCCCUAGCUGGUCUGAGAGGAUGACCAGCCACACUGGAACUGAGACACGGCCCAGACUCCUACGGGAGGCAACAGUAGGGAAUCUUCGGCAAUGGGGGGAACCCUGACCGAGCAACGCCGCGUGAGUGAAAAAGGUUUUCGGAUCGUAAAGCUCUGUUGUAAGAGAAGAACGAGUGUGAGAGUGGAAAGUUCACACUGUGACGGUAUCUUACCAGAAAGGGACGGCUAACUACGUGCCAGCAGCCGCGGUAAUACGUAGGUCCCGAGCGUUAUCCGGAUUUAUUGGGCGUAAAGCGAGCGCAGGCGGUUAGAUAAGUCUGAAGUUAAAGGCUGUGGCUUAACCAUAGUACGCUUUGGAAACUGUUUAACUUGAGUGCAAGAGGGGAGAGUGGAAUUCCAUGUGUAGCGG
rnacentral:rRNA from 1 species